rnacentral:misc_RNA from 1 species
GAAAUGCGAUAAGUAAUGUGAAUUGCAGAAUUCAGUGAAUCAUCGAAUCUUUGAACGCACAUUGCGCCCGCCAGUAUUCUGGCGGGCAUGCCUGUUCGAGCGUCAUUUCCACCAUCAGGCCCCCGGGCCUGUGUUGGGGACCUGCGGCUGCCCGCAGGCCCCGAAAUUCAGUGGCGGUCGCGCCGUAGCAACUGAGCGUAGUAACUAAAACGUCUCGCUCUGGCUCGCUGGGCGCGCUCCGGCCGUAAAACACCCCCCCUUUUCGCAAAGGUUGACCUCGGAUCAGGUAGGAAUACCCGCUGAACUUAAGC